UUUUUUCUAACCUUUAUAAUUUAUAAACUAGAAUGUUUAAUGUCUACGGCCAUACCUAGGCGAAAACACCAGUUCCCGUCCGAUCACUGCAGUUAAGCGUCUGAGGGCCUCGUUAGUACUAUGGUUGGAGACAACAUGGGAAUCCGGGGUGCUGUAGGCUAUUUUUU